GAAAGCCUGUCUCAGUUCGGAUUGGAGUCUGCAACCCGACUCCAUGAAGCUGGAUUCGCUAGUAAUCGCGCAUCAGCCACGGCGCGGUGAAUACGUUCCCGGGCCUUGUACACACCGCCCGUCAAGCCAUGGAAGCCGGGGGUGCCUGAAGUGCGCUGCCGCAAGGAGCGCCCUAGGGUAAAACCGGUGACUGGGGCUAAGUCGUAACAAGGUAGC
rnacentral:rRNA from 1 species